AUGACGUCCAAGGUAGCCAACAGCUCCGGCAGCAACAAUGCGGAUGCCAAGCUAUCGCCGUCGGGGCUCCCCGUCCGGGAGGUCCCGGGCGGCUACGGCGUUCCCUUCUUGUCGCCGCUGCGCGACCGCCUUGACUACUACUACUUCCAGGGCGCGGAGGAGUACUUCCGCUCCCGCAUCGCCCGGAACGGCGGCGCCACCGUGCUGCGCGUCAACAUGCCCCCCGGGCCGUUCAUCACCACCGACUCCCGCGUCGUCGCCUUCCUCGACGCGCGCAGCUUCAGCGUGCUCCUCGACGACGCCAAGGUCGACAAGACCGACACGCUCGACGGGACCUUCAUGCCCUCCCUCGCGCUCUUCGGCGGCUACCGCCCGCUCGCCUUCCUCGACGCUGCCGACCCCCACCACGCCGCGCUCAAGCGCGUCAUGAUCAGCCUCGCCGCCGCGCGGAUGCACCACGUCGCGCCGGCCUUCCGCACCGCUUUCGGCGCCGUGUUCGACGCCGCCGACGCCGGCCUCGGCGACGGCCCCGUCCAGUUCAACAAGCUCAACGAGCACCACAUGUUCGACUUCACCUGCUCCGCGCUGUUCGGCGGCACGCCGCCGAGCAAGGCCAUGGGCGACGGCGCCGUGACCAAGGCCAUCAAGUGGCUCGGCGUGCAGCUGCACCCGCUCGCCAGUAAGAUCAUCAAGCCGUGGCUGCUCGAGGAUCUCCUUCUCCACACCUUCCGCCUGCCGCCGUUGCUGGUUCGCCGGGACUACGCCGACCUGACAGCCUACUUCGCCGAAGCUGCCGCCGGCGUUCUCAACGACGCCGACAAGGCUCAGUCCGGCAUCUCACGCGACGAGCUCCUCCACAACCUAGUCUUCACCGCCAUCUUCAACGCCUACGGAGGCUUCAAGAUCUUCCUGCCGCACGUCAUCAAGUGGCUAGCCCGCGCCGGCCCGGCUCUGCACGCCAGGCUCGCCAGCGAGGUCCGCGCCGCCGUGCCCAACGGCAGCGACAUCACCGUGCCCGCCGUCGACAAGAUGCCGCUGGUGAAGUCGGUGGUGUGGGAGGCGCUGCGCAUGAACCCGCCGGUGGAGUUUCAGUACGGCCGCGCGCGCCAGGACCUGGUGGUCGAGAGCCACGACGCCGCCUACCGGGUGCGCAAGGGCGAGAUGCUCUUCGGGUACCAGCCUCUGGCGACCCGCGACGAGCGCGUGUUCAAGCAGGCCGGCGAGUUCGUCCCUGACCGGUUCGUGGGCGGCGAAGGGCGGCUGCUCGGGAACGUGGUGUGGUCGAACGGGCCGGAGAACAGCGAGCCGGCGGAGGGGAACAAGCAGUGCCCCGGGAAGGACGUGGUGGUGGCGGUCGGGAGGCUAAUGGUGGCGGAGCUGUUCCGGCGGUACGACACAUUCACCGCCGACGUGAAGGAGAUGCCGCUAGAGCCGGUGGUGACGUUCACUUCGCUGACCAGGGCCAAGGCAGAGUGA
rnacentral:rRNA from 1 species